GGUUAAGGCGCUAGCCUGCUAAGUUAGUGGGUAUUCCCGCGCGAGUUCGAAUCUCGCCCGCUG
rnacentral:tRNA from 1 species